UACGUAGGGUGCAAGCGUUGUCCGGAAUUAUUGGGCGUAAAGGGCUCGUAGGCGGUCCAUCGCGUCGGGGAGUGAAACGCUGGGGCUCAACCCCAGUCCUGCUCUCGAUACGGGUGGACUAGAGGUAGGCAGGGGGAGAAUGGAAUUCCUGGUGUAGCGGUGAAAUGCGUAGAUAUCGGGAGGAACACCUGUGGCGAAAGCGGCUCACUGGACCACAACUGACGCCUGAGGCGCGAAAGCUAGGGGGAGCAAACAGG
rnacentral:rRNA from 1 species